UACGUAGGGUGCGAGCGUUAAUCGGAAUUACUGGGCGUAAAGCGUGCGCAGGCGGUUUAUUAAGACCGAUGUGAAAUCCCCGGGCUCAACCUGGGAACUGCAUUGGUGACUGGCAAGCUAGAGUAUGGCAGAGGGGGGUAGAAUUCCACGUGUAGCAGUGAAAUGCGUAGAGAUGUGGAGGAAUACCGAUGGCGAAGGCAGCCCCCUGGGCCAAUACUGACGCUCAUGCACGAAAGCGUGGGGAGCAAACAGG
rnacentral:rRNA from 1 species